UGUCUCCUGUUUCUGAUUUUGGUUUUUAAGGUCUGGAUAAGCUCUCGCUUAUUUGAAUCCUCCCAUAAGAUAUAACCAGAGUGAUGGAAAAUGCUGACUGAUUCUGCAGCCUGCAUUGUGGAAAAACAAAAUAGUCAUGACAAAAACUGCCCUUAAGUCAUUUUGCUUCUCUGGAGUUCCUGAUCUUACUCAUCUAAUUUCAUGCACGUGAAUAUUCCCAUUGAUUAAGAAGGAGUGUAAGGAGCAUUCUGGUGACACCAUGGGACAGAAACUUCUCUGGGUUCAGCGCACCGUGAUAGGAGAAGACAGCUGCAGCAGGCUCGCUCUGAGGCAAACACAUCUUCCCAGGCGUGGAACGUAUUGGAUAGGUACAUGGCUUUUGCCGUUCUGGAUUCCUGUGAGCUUUGGGAGAGGAGCGAUCCUGCUAUCUGGAAGGCUGCGUUUUGCCAGUGGUCUACAAAACACCGUUCUCAAAUGUCCGCACCGUCUGGGGACCUGGCAUCCAGCUUACGGAUGGGGAUUCACCCUGGCAGCAGCCAAGUCCCUGAGGAGAAGGAGGGAUGAAGCAAAGUCUGGAGGCAGUGGUGAGACAAUGAGCUGUAACUCCAGAGAAAUGUCUCCUAAGAGCCAGCCACACUGGGAGAUAAGCAGAGAGAGAUCCCAGGAGAGGAAGGACAUUGGCCAAACAGAGGAAACAAAAGGCAGAAAAGAAGAGGCUGUCUGGAAGUGCAAGUAUCCUGGGUCACAGGAUGUACUGAGCUAUUGUGUAAAGGACAUGCAAAACAGCUUCGCUUUGUCCCAAAGUUUCAGCGACUUCAAGAACUGAAAGAAGAAAAAGAAGAAAACAGCAUAAAGGAAGAGGCUUCCAGUGUGACUUUGUCAGAUCCAGACUCCAUAAAUCCUAGAAGCAGAAGAGGACUGGCAACCAUCCGGCCAUGCUUGCUCUUAUGUUAUUGAAUCAACAACCAUUUCCCUGCCAGCUGGACUGUAGAGCCAUCUGCAAUAUGAUCCCCAAAACCCUGAUAAGCAGAAAAAUUAGGCUGCAAUGAUAUAGCAAAACCAUUCUGAGGGCAGUAGGGAAAUGCAGGCUAGUGAUAAUAGACUCACAGAACAGGUAAUGUUAGCACCUGGGCUUUAUAAAAGUAACUGUCACACAGCAGUGCCACCCACACACGGCAGUGCAGAGUAGAGUAAGGCAUGGACAUGACCUUGGCAUAACACUAGAAUAUGCUCCGCUUCAGCAAGGGGGACUGUCCUCCCUUGUCUGGUAGACAAAGCCUCUUCUGCAGAGGUGGGUGGAUUCAGGGCUAAUUUUGUUUAGUCUUGAUGGAGUCAUUAAAUAAUGAACAGGCAAGCCUUCAAAGAAGAGGCAUUAAUACACCUAUAAAAACAGCACAGAAUGGAUCAACAGCCACAUCAAGGAAGGAAAGAACAUCCAAGAAAAGUGAAGAACGGCUUAUCUAAAUGGCGGAACCACUUAGCUGAGCACUGGAAAGAAGUUUCUCACCAUUAUCAGUGCUUCAGGACAGGCCAGCUCAUCUACCCGAAGUGAAAGUAUCCUGCGGGGGCCUGCGGCUAGGGCAUGGCCAGCAGUUUCGGGGGAGCAGGCUUUCUUAAAGACAAGCAAGGAAGAACUGUGCUCAAAAGCCUGAACAUUUAUCUUCCACAGUUUCAGAACCCUCCUUCAGCUUCCUGCUUUCAUUCUUGGGAUAGAGAGAUGCUGAAAGAUGCAUAAAAUAUCUUAGGGUAUUAAGCCAAUACAAAUCAAAAUGGAUCAAAGCCGGGAGCUGCUGUGUGUAGCACAGAACACUGCACUGACAAUUAAA
rnacentral:lncRNA from 1 species